rfam:Cephalotus follicularis DNA, scaffold: scaffold1071, isolate: St1.
AUGACAUGAUGGGGACAUUUCCUGAUAACGUCCUUUAAUCUUUCCCAUGACUCAUGGAACUGCUCACCAUCUUACUGUGAUUAGCAAGAGAGAGCUUGCCUUAUCUG